AGUGAACGCUGGCGGUAGGCCUAACACAUGCAAGUCGAACGGCAGCACAGUAAGAGCUUGCUCUUACGGGUGGCGAGUGGCGGACGGGUGAGGAAUACAUCGGAAUCUACUUUUUCGUGGGGGAGAACGUAGGGAAACUUACGCUAAUACCGCAUACGACCUACGGGUGAAAGCAGGGGAUCUUCGGACCUUGCGCGAUUGAAUGAGCCGAUGUCGGAUUAGCUAGUUGGCGGGGUAAAGGCCCACCAAGGCGACGAUCCGUAGCUGGUCUGAGAGGAUGAUCAGCCACACUGGAACUGAGACACGGUCCAGACUCCUACGGGAGGCAGCAGUGGGGAAUAUUGGACAAUGGGCGCAAGCCUGAUCCAGCCAUACCGCGUGUGUGAAGAAGGCCUUCGGGUUGUAAAGCCCUUUUGUUGGGAAAGAAAAGCAGCAGGUUAAUACCCCGCUGUUCUGACGGUACCAAAAGAAUAAGCACCGGCUAACUUCGUG
rnacentral:rRNA from 1 species